UACGAAGGGGGCUAGCGUUGCUCGGAAUCACUGGGCGUAAAGCGCACGUAGGCGGAUUGUUAAGUCAGGGGUGAAAUCCUGGAGCUCAACUCCAGAACUGCCUUUGAUACUGGCGAUCUUGAGUCCGGGAGAGGUGAGUGGAACUGCGAGUGUAGAGGUGAAAAUUCGUAGAUAUUCGCAAAGAACACCAGUGGCGAAGGCGGCUCACUGGCCCGGUACUGACGCUGAGGCGCGA
rnacentral:rRNA from 1 species